GCACUGAGAGCUCUGUAGCUGGGCCGGGAAGGGACCCAAAUCUCCCUAGUUUCAGCGCGGUAUCCUGGUCACCAGGCUGCUCUCACAAACACUGUUAGCAGCUUUAAUGCACUGCAGGGUGCAUCCCAGCCGGGAUCCCCAGCCAAACACCUUGUAUAGCGUGGGCACAUCCUACAAAGGCACCCUUUGCAUACCCAAAGACAAACAAAACAUUACAAAUCUAGUUUUGCCACAUUUCCUGAAGUUUUUCAACUUGAGUUUUAUAAACUGAACCCUGCGUACCAAAGCGUGGUACUCUUCUCACAUCAGGAACUAAGCCAAAACUCGGCGGUCCAUCCCAGGCAGGUGAUCAGCCGUCUGGACCCGAAACCCACACAGCUCUGUGUUGACGUGCUGGAUUUCCUUAUCCCACCUGCAGCCGCCCAGCACCAGCUCCCCCAGCGCAUCAGGACUUAGUCAUCCUGCGAGCCCCAUCCCUCCUGGGCGCGUGGGUAAACCCGCUCACCAGGAGAUGAAGCGAGCUCUGCUUUUCCUGCAACAAACCCAGCCUACCCACUCCCUGUGCUGAAACCAGCCCCGGCAUCACCUGCACAGCACCACACCAGUCCCCGCUCCCGGUCACAGAUGUGGCAGGCGAGGAAAGCCACGACUUCGCAGGACCCUUUUCAGCCAGCUCUGGUUUGGAGCGUAUCAGGAACAACCCAGCCCUUCCAAAAGCCCUGCACAGCAGCACCGCCACGAUCCAAGAAGCUGCUGCUGCUGCUUUCCAAGGUUCACGAGCAGCAUUUGGAUCCCAGAAAGCUACAGGUGCACUCCUGUACCACCGGGCUCUGCCGAGCUGCCCCAAGGCUUCUGCUCACAAACCUCUCAAAUCCGGGCAAAUCCCAAAGCCACGAGGGGCAGAAAGGGAAGGAGCCUCUGUUGCACCCCACAGCUUUAGAACUCUGUUUCCAGCCCACAGUUGGCUGCCAGAGCCUCUCAUCCACAGCUCUGAGGGCUGUUUUACCCAGAGGUCUCGCCUUGUCUCAGGUUUAAAUGCCAUUACAACAAAUCUAGGUCUCAGCACUGUGAAAGAAGGAAUAUAAGUUCGCUGCAUUCCUGUUUUAUAUGGAGUUACCAGAUUUAUAGCUUGACUAUAUAAUCUUUUAAUUUUCUCUCGUUUAUUGCAGUAAUUGCCCUUUCUAGAAUUCACCAGACAAAGGCAGUAAUUCAAAUAACCUCAUUUUCCCACUGAUUUAAACGACAACCCUAGGCUGGCUGCUGUGAUUCAGUACAUCUCAGCCAGCCUUGCAGGUGUAGGUAUGAUGCUGCACCAAACUGUGCCUGCCUGAACCAGAAAGGCAGGGGUGAGAACACACCACCCCACUCUCGCAGAGAGCCGGUUCCUGCAUUAGCCCACGCACAGAACCGUCAUUUAUUCAGCACAUUUUGUCAUACUGCUUCUGUGAUCGCUGUUACCUGCUAGGAACAAGCGACCGCCCUAGCUGUGAGACUUUUUGGCCAACAUACACACCAAAAAACAUCCAAGGAAACCCAAAGCUAACCAAGAGAGAGCCACGAGGGGAGAAAAAAAAUAUGGAUGUGGGUUAAGCUCUGGAUUUAAGGGGUUUGGCUCCUGAUGGGGGACACAGGCAGACCUGAGGGGGUGAUGGCAACUUAUAUCAAGGAGCUGUCGUUUAACGCCGAUAUCACAAUGAAACUUGGCUUUCCUCCUGCCCAUUCUCAACCCUAUUUGUGUUGCAAGUGUUCUGAGGCAGAAGAUUCUGAUUUCUGGACACUUGUUAAUGUUGUGGCAUCACAAACACAGCAUGAGCUUCUAGUCGAGACUACAAGGCAAAUAAUAAAAUAUUUAUCCUACCGUCUGUGCUUGCAUCUUCUGCAAAUGAACCUGUCAAAACUCAAUCUAGCAACCUACAGUUGAAGCCUUA